GAUAAAAUUUUAUUAUAGCUGUAAAUUUUGCAUUACAAAUUUAACAAAAAAGUUAUAAGAUCACUUACAUACAGUAUUGUACAUACCAUAAUAUCUGAUAAUUUUCUAACAUACUAUGAAUACAGAAUGUAUUCAAUUUGCCUACCAAUAGAGUGUGUGUACUUUAUAAUAAUUAUAGUUAGAGGAGGCACCAAGUCCUAUCCUAUAACUGCAUACUGACCAAAAAUGGGAGAGAGAACAAUUCUACCAUCCUUCACAGGCCGAGAAGAAUCUCUAUUUUUGGUAGGGAAAGACAAUCUGUAUUUACCAGGGCAGGGAAAGACGGCUGACACACACUAUGAUAUCAAUUAUCAACAUGACGUCAUUGUAUUGUAUCCUUGAUGUCAUAGAAUUGUGAAUGGGGAAUCCCCAUCUCAACCAUAGUUUUUUUAGGGGGUUUUGGCAGAAAAAUGUUUCAUUCAACUGGAAUUUUUAGUUUGAUGAGUAUAAUAGAAAAAUAAUCAAACACGGAUCUGUUCCAAGAACAGGGAUAGCUCGACUCUCCUGUGAGAGUUGUGCUGGACAACAACACUCGGGUUAACAUAUUGCUAUCCAAGGAAAACAGGCCCAUGUAAGAUUCUUUUAACCUAGACCUGUGACAUAUUUAACUGCAUUAAUACACCACAUGGAUCAGUAGGCAAAUUACAUCUCAUGCAAGUGAUGUAAUUUACCAGUAGGCAAAUCAUAUCUCAGGUGAGUGAUGUAAUAGUAUACCAGUAGGUAAAUCAUAUCUCAGGUGAGUGAUGUAAUAGUAUACCAGUAGGUAAAUCAUAUCUCAGGUGUGUGAUGUAAUAGUAUACCAGUAGGUAAAUCAUAUCUCAGGUGAGUGAUGUUAUAGUAUACCAGUAGGUAAAUCAUAUCUCAGGUGAGUGAUGUAAUAGUAUACCAGUAGGUAAAUCAUAUCUCAGGUGUGUGAUGUUAUAGUAUACCAGUAGGUAAAUCAUAUCUCAGGUGAGUGAUGUAAUAGUAUACCAGUAGGUAAAUCAUAUCUCAGGUGAGUGAUGUAAUAGUAUACCAGUAGGUAAAUCAUAUCUCAGGUGUGUGAUGUUAUAGUAUACCAGUAGGUAAAUCAUAUCUCAGGUGAGUGAUGUAAUAGUACACCAGUAGGUAAAUCAUAUCUCAGGUGUGUGAUGUUAUAGUAUACCAGUAAGUAAAUCAUAUCUCAGGUGUGUGGUGUAAUAGUAUACCAGUAGGUAAAUCAUAUCUCAGGUGUGUGAUGUAAUAGUAUACCAGUAGGUAAAUCAUAUCUCGGGUGUGUGAUGUUAUAGUAUACCAGUAGGUAAAUCAUAUCUCAGGUGAGUGAUGUAAUAGUAUACCAGUAGGUAAAUCAUAUCUCAGGUGUGUGAUGUAAUAGUAUACCAGUAGGUAAAUCAUAUCUCAGGUGUGUGAUGUAAUAGUAUACCAGUAGGUAAAUCAUAUCUCAGGUGAGUGAUGUAAUAGUAUACCAGUAGGUAAAUCAUAUCUCAGGUGUGUGAUGUAAUAGUAUACCAGUAGGUAAAUCAUAUCUCAGGUGUGUGAUGUAAUAGUAUACCAGUAGGUAAAUUAUAUCUCAGGUGAGUGAUGUAAUAGUAUACCAGUAGGUAAAUCAUAUCUCAGGUGAGUGAUGUAAUAGUAUACCAGUAGGUAAAUCAUAUCUAGGGUGAGUUAUGUAAUAGUAUACCAGUAGGUAAAUCAUAUCUCAGGUGUGUGAUGUAAUAGUAUACCAGAAGGUAAAUCAUAUCUCAGGUGUGUGAUGUAAUAGUAUACCAGUAGGUAAAUCAUAUCUCAGGUGUGUGAUGUAAUAGUAUACCAGUUCGUAAAUCAUAUCUCAGGUGAGUGAUGUAAUAGUAUACCAGUAGGUAAAUCAUAUCUAGGGUGAGUUAUGUAAUAGUAUACCAGAAGGUAAAUCAUAUCUCAGGUGUGUGAUGUAAUAGUAUACCAGUAGGUAAAUCAUAUCUCAGGUGUGUGAUGUAAUAGUAUACCAGUAGGUAAAUUAUAUCUCAGGUGUGUGAUGUAAUAGUACACCAGUAGGUAAAUCAUAUCUCAGGUGA